rnacentral:rRNA from 1 species
CUGAUUGAGAUUUUAACACGAAGUGAGUGGCGAACGGGUGAGUAACACGUGGGUAACCUGCCCAGAAGUAGGGGAUAACACCUGGAAACAGAUGCUAAUACCGUAUAACAGAGAAAACCGCAUGGUUUUCUUUUAAAAGAUGGCUCUGCUAUCACUUCUGGAUGGACCCGCGGCGUAUUAGCUAGUUGGUGAGGUAAAGGCUCACCAAGGCAGUGAUACGUAGCCGACCUGAGAGGGUAAUCGGCCACAUUGGGACUGAGACACGGCCCAGACUCCUACGGGAGGCAGCAGUAGGGAAUCUUCCACAAUGGACGCAAGUCUGAUGGAGCAACGCCGCGUGAGUGAAGAAGGGUUUCGGCUCGUAAAGCUCUGUUGUUAAAGAAGAACGUGGGUAAGAGUAACUGUUUACCCAGUGACGGUAUUUAACCAGAAAGCCACGGCUAACUACGUGCCA